rnacentral:rRNA from 1 species
UACAGAGGUCUCAAGCGUUGUUCGGAUUCAUUGGGCGUAAAGAGCUCGUAGGCGGCUUGUCGCGUCGACUGUGAAAACCCGCGGCUCAACUGCGGGCCUGCAGCCGAUACGGGCAGGCUAGAGUUCGGUAGGGGAGACUGGAAUUCCUGGUGUAGCGGUGAAAUGCGCAGAUAUCAGGAGGAACACCGGUGGCGAAGGCGGUUCUCUGGGCAUUACCUGACGCUGAGGAGCGAAAGCAUGGGGAGCAAACAGG